rnacentral:tRNA from 1 species
UCAACUCCUUCGCAAGAUCCGUAUUCGGUCUACGGAACCGAAGGUUGGAGGUUCGAGCCCUCCGGGGUGUACC